rnacentral:rRNA from 1 species
UACGGAGGGAGCUAGCGUUGUUCGGAAUUACUGGGCGUAAAGCGCACGUAGGCGGCUUUGUAAGUUAGAGGUGAAAGCCUGGGGCUCAACUCCGGAACUGCCUUUAAGACUGCAUCGCUUGAAUCCGGGAGAGGUGGAGUGGAAUUCCGAGUGUAGAGGUGAAAUUCGUAGAUAUUCGGAAGAACACCAGUGGCGAAGGCGGCUCACUGGACCGGCAUUGACGCUGAUGUGCGAAAGCUGGGGAGCAAA